rnacentral:rRNA from 1 species
ACGUACACUCCUACGGGAGGCAGCAGUGGGGAAUAUUGGACAAUGGGCGCAAGCCUGAUCCAGCCAUGCCGCGUGAGUGAUGAAGGCCCUAGGGUUGUAAAGCUCUUUCACCGGUGAAGAUAAUGACGGUAACCGGAGAAGAAGCCCCGGCUAACUUCGUGCCAGCAGCCGCGGUAAUACGAAGGGGGCUAGCGUUGUUCGGAUUUACUGGGCGUAAAGCGCACGUAGGCGGACUAUUAAGUCAGGGGUGAAAUCCCGGGGCUCAACCCCGGAACUGCCUUUGAUACUGGUAGUCUUGAGUUCGGGAGAGGUGAGUGGAAUUCCGAGUGUAGAGGUGAAAUUCGUAGAUAUUCGGAGGAACACCAGUGGCGAAGGCGGCUCACUGGCUCGAUACUGACGCUGAGGUGCGAAAGCGUGGGGAGCAAACAGGAUUAGAUACCCCGGGAGUCCC